rnacentral:rRNA from 1 species
GAGUUUGAUCCUGGCUCAGAACGAACGCUGGCGGCAGGCUUAACACAUGCAAGUCGAGCGCACUCUUCGGAGUGAGCGGCGGACGGGUUAGUAACGCGUGGGAACGUGCCCUUCUCUAAGGAAUAGCCACUGGAAACGGUGAGUAAUACCUUAUACGCCCCUCGGGGGAAAGAUUUAUCGGAGAAGGAUCGGCCCGCGUUAGAUUAGAUAGUUGGUGGGGUAAUGGCCUACCAAGUCUACGAUCUAUAGCUGGUUUUAGAGGAUGAUCAGCAACACUGGGACUGAGACACGGCCCAGACUCCUACGGGAGGCAGCAGUGGGGAAUCUUGGACAAUGGGCGCAAGCCUGAUCCAGCCAUGCCGCGUGAGUGAUGAAGGCCUUAGGGUCGUAAAGCUCUUUCGCCAGAGAUGAUAAUGACAGUAUCUGGUAAAGAAACCCCGGCUAACUCCGUGCCAGCAGCCGCGGUAAUACGGAGGGGGUUAGCGUUGUUCGGAAUUACUGGGCGUAAAGCGCACGUAGGCGGAUCAGAAAGUAUAGGGUGAAAUCCCAGGGCUCAACCCUGGAACUGCCUUGUAAACUCCUGGUCUUGAGUUCGAGAGAGGUGAGUGGAAUUCCGAGUGUAGAGGUGAAAUUCGUAGAUAUUCGGAGGAACACCAGUGGCGAAGGCGGCUCACUGGCUCGAUACUGACGCUGAGGUGCGAAAGUGUGGGGAGCAAACAGGAUUAGAUACCCUGGUAGUCCACACCGUAAACGAUGAAUGCCAGACGUCAGCAAGCAUGCUUGUUGGUGUCACACCUAACGGAUUAAGCAUUCCGCCUGGGGAGUACGGUCGCAAGAUUAAAACUCAAGGAAUUUGACG